CCUACGGGACGCACCAGUGGGGAAUUUUCCGCAAUGGGCGAAAGCCUGACGGAGCAAUGCCGCGUGGAGGUAGAAGGCCCACGGGUCGUGAACUUCUUUUCCCGGAGAAGAAGCAAUGACGGUAUCUGGGGAGUAAGCAUCGGCUAACUCUGUGCCAGCAGCCGCGGUAAUACAGAGGAUGCAAGCGUUAUCCGGAAUGAUUGGGCGUAAAGCGUCUGUAGGUGGCUUUUUAAGUCCGCCGUCAAAUCCCAGGGCUCAACCCUGGACAGGCGGUGGAAGCUACCAAGCUGGAGUACGGUAGGGGCAGAGGGAAUUUCCGGUGGAGCGGUGAAAUGCGUAGAGAUCGGAAAGAACAGCAACGGCGAUAGCACUCUGCUGGGCCGACACUGACACUGAGAGACGAAAGCUAGGGGAGCGAAUGGGAUUAGAUACCCUUGUAGUC
rnacentral:rRNA from 1 species